rnacentral:rRNA from 1 species
GACGAACGCUGGCGGCGUGCUUAACACAUGCAAGUCGAACGGAAAGGCCCUGCUUUUGUGGGGUGCUCGAGUGGCGAACGGGUGAGUAACACGUGAGUAACCUGCCCUUGACUUUGGGAUAACUUCAGGAAACUGGGGCUAAUACCGGAUAGGAGCUCCUGCUGCAUGGUGGGGGUUGGAAAGUUUCGGCGGUUGGGGAUGGACUCGCGGCUUAUCAGCUUGUUGGUGGGGUAGUGGCUUACCAAGGCUUUGACGGGUAGCCGGCCUGAGAGGGUGACCGGCCACAUUGGGCCUGGGAUGCGGCCCAGACUCCUACGGGGGGCAGCGGUGGGGAAUAUUGCGCAAUGGGCGGCAGCCUGAUGCAGCAACGCCGCGUGCGGGAUGACGGCCUUCGGGUUGUAAACCGCUUUCGCCUGUGACGAAGCGUGAGUGACGGUAAUGGGUAAAGAAGCACCGGCUAACUACGUG